rnacentral:rRNA from 1 species
AGUGAACGCUGGCGGUAGGCCUAACACAUGCAAGUCGAACGGCAGCACAGUAAGAGCUUGCUCUUACGGGUGGCGAGUGGCGGACGGGUGAGGAAUACAUCGGAAUCUACUUUUUCGUGGGGGAUAACGUAGGGAAACUUACGCUAAUACCGCAUACGACCUACUGGUGAAAGCAGGGGAUCUUCGGACCUUGCGCGAUUGAAUGAGCCGAUGUCGGAUUAGCUAGUUGGCGGGGUAAAGGCCCACCAAGGCGACGAUCCGUAGCUGGUCUGAGAGGAUGAUCAGCCACACUGGAACUGAGACACGGUCCAGACUCCUACGGGAGGCAGCAGUGGGGAAUAUUGGACAAUGGGCGCAAGCCUGAUCCAGCCAUACCGCGUGGGUGAAGAAGGCCUUCGGGUUGUAAAGCCCUUUUGUUGGGAAAGAAAAGCAGCAGGUUAACACCCCGCUGUUCUGACGGUACCCAAAGAAUAAGCACCGGCUAACUUCGUG